GGUUAACGCUGGCGGCGUGCCUAACACAUGCAAGUCGAACGGUUCUAAGCGCGAGCUUAGGAUAGUGGCGAACGGGUGAGUAAAAGGUAGGAAUCUACCCCUUGGACGGAGAUAGCUACUGGAAACGGUAGGUAAACUUCGAUAAGCCCGAGAGGGGAAAGUGGUGAGACAGCCGAGGGAUGAGCCUACUCUCCAUCAGGUAGUUGGUGAGAUAAAAGCUUACCAAGCCGAUGACGGAUAACCGGUGUGAGAGCAUGAACGGUCACAAGGGCACUGAGAGACGGGCCCUACUCCUACGGGAGGCAGCAGUGGGGAAUCCUGGACAAUGGGCGAAAGCCUGAUCCAGCGACGCCGCGUGGAGGAAGAAGUCCUUCGGGAUGUAAACUUCUGAACUAGCCGAAUAAAAGGCCUGUGGACACACAGGAGAAGAAAGUAGGCUAGGAAAAGUCCCGGCUAACUACGUGCCAGCAGCCGCGUAAUGCUACGUAGA
rnacentral:rRNA from 1 species